UCAAGUGAAGAAGCGCAUACGGUGGAUGCCUUGGCAGUCAGAGGCGAUGAAAGACGUGGUAGCCUGCGAUAAGCUUUGGGGAGUCGGCAAACAGACUGUGAUCCAGAGAUCUCUGAAUGGGGGAACCCAGCCAGCAUAAGCUGGUUAUCUUGUACUGAAUACAUAGGUGCAAGAGGCGAACCAGGGGAACUGAAACAUCUAAGUACCCUGAGGAAAAGAAAUCAACCGAGAUUCCCUUAGUAGUGGCGAGCGAACGGGGACCAGCCCUUAAGUUGAUUUGAGAUUAGUGGAACGCUCUGGAAAGUGCGGCCAUAGUGGGUGAUAGCCCCGUACACGAAAAUCUCUUAUCAAUGAAAUCGAGUAGGACGGAGCACGAGAAACUUUGUCUGAAUAUGGGGGGACCAUCCUCCAAGGCUAAAUACUACUGACUGACCGAUAGUGAACCAGUACCGUGAGGGAAAGGCGAAAAGAACCCCGGAGAGGGGAGUGAAAUAGAACCUGAAACCGUAUGCGUACAAGCAGUGGGAGCCUACUUUGUUAGGUGACUGCGUACCUUUUGUAUAAUGGGUCAGCGACUUAUAUUCAGUGGCGAGCUUAACCGAAUAGGGGAGGCGUAGCGAAAGCGAGUCUUAAUAGGGCGUUUAGUCGCUGGGUAUAGACCCGAAACCGGGCGAUCUAUCCAUGGGCAGGUUGAAGGUUAGGUAACACUGACUGGAGGACCGAACCGACUACCGUUGAAAAGUUAGCGGAUGACCUGUGGAUCGGAGUGAAAGGCUAAUCAAGCUCGGAGAUAGCUGGUUCUCCUCGAAAGCUAUUUAGGUAGCGCCUCAUGUAUCACUGUAGGGGGUAGAGCACUGUUUCGGCUAGGGGGUCAUCCCGACUUACCAAACCGAUGCAAACUCCGAAUACCUACAAGUGCCGAGCAUGGGAGACACACGGCGGGUGCUAACGUCCGUCGUGAAAAGGGAAACAACCCAGACCGUCAGCUAAGGUCCCAAAGUCAUGGUUAAGUGGGAAACGAUGUGGGAAGGCUUAGACAGCUAGGAGGUUGGCUUAGAAGCAGCCACCCUUUAAAGAAAGCGUAAUAGCUCACUAGUCGAGUCGGCCUGCGCGGAAGAUGUAACGGGGCUCAAACCAUGCACCGAAGCUACGGGUAUCAUCGUAUGAUGAUGCGGUAGAGGAGCGUUCUGUAAGCCUGUGAAGGUGAGUUGAGAAGCUUGCUGGAGGUAUCAGAAGUGCGAAUGCUGACAUGAGUAACGACAAUGCGAGUGAAAAACUCGCACGCCGAAAGACCAAGGUUUCCUGCGCAACGUUAAUCGACGCAGGGUUAGUCGGUCCCUAAGGCGAGGCUGAAAAGCGUAGUCGAUGGAAAACAGGUUAAUAUUCCUGUACUUCCAGUUAUUGCGAUGGAGGGACGGAGAAGGUUAGGCCAGCCUGGCGUUGGUUGUCCAGGUUUAAGGUGGUAGGCUGAAAUCUUAGGCAAAUCCGGGAUUUCAAGGCCGAGAGCUGAUGACGAGUUGCCUUUAGGCGACGAAGUGGUUGAUACCAUGCUUCCAAGAAAAGCUCCUAAGCUUCAGAUAACUGGGAACCGUACCCCAAACCGACACAGGUGGUUAGGUAGAGAAUACCAAGGCGCUUGAGAGAACUCGGGUGAAGGAACUAGGCAAAAUGGCACCGUAACUUCGGGAGAAGGUGCGCCGGCGAGGGUUAAGGACUUGCUCCGUAAGCCCAUGCCGGUCGAAGAUACCAGGCCGCUGCGACUGUUUAUUAAAAACACAGCACUCUGCAAACACGAAAGUGGACGUAUAGGGUGUGACGCCUGCCCGGUGCCGGAAGGUUAAUUGAUGGGGUUAGCGCAAGCGAAGCUCUUGAUCGAAGCCCCGGUAAACGGCGGCCGUAACUAUAACGGUCCUAAGGUAGCGAAAUUCCUUGUCGGGUAAGUUCCGACCUGCACGAAUGGCGUAACGAUGGCGGCGCUGUCUCCACCCGAGACUCAGUGAAAUUGAAAUCGCUGUGAAGAUGCAGUGUAUCCGCGGCUAGACGGAAAGACCCCGUGAACCUUUACUAUAGCUUUGCACUGGACUUUGAAUUUGCUUGUGUAGGAUAGGUGGGAGGCUUUGAAGUGGGGACGCCAGUUCUCAUGGAGCCAUCCUUGAAAUACCACCCUGGCAACUUUGAGGUUCUAACUCAGGUCCGUUAUCCGGAUCGAGGACAGUGUAUGGUGGGUAGUUUGACUGGGGCGGUCUCCUCCCAAAGAGUAACGGAGGAGUACGAAGGUGCGCUCAGACCGGUCGGAAAUCGGUCGUAGAGUAUAAAGGCAAAAGCGCGCUUGACUGCGAGACAAACACGUCGAGCAGGUACGAAAGUAGGUCUUAGUGAUCCGGUGGUUCUGUAUGGAAGGGCCAUCGCUCAACGGAUAAAAGGUACUCCGGGGAUAACAGGCUGAUACCGCCCAAGAGUUCAUAUCGACGGCGGUGUUUGGCACCUCGAUGUCGGCUCAUCACAUCCUGGGGCUGAAGCCGGUCCCAAGGGUAUGGCUGUUCGCCAUUUAAAGUGGUACGCGAGCUGGGUUUAGAACGUCGUGAGACAGUUCGGUCCCUAUCUGCCGUGGACGUUUGAGAUUUGAGAGGGGCUGCUCCUAGUACGAGAGGACCGGAGUGGACGAACCUCUG
rnacentral:rRNA from 1 species